UACAGAGGUCCCAAGCGUUGUUCGGAUUCAUUGGGCGUAAAGGGUGCGUAGGCGGCGCGGUAAGUCGGGUGUGAAAUCUCGGGGCUUAACUCCGAAACUGCAUUCGAUACUGCCGUGCUUGAGGACUGGAGAGGAGACUGGAAUUUACGGUGUAGCGGUGAAAUGCGUAGAUAUCUGGAGGAAUACCGGUGGCGAAGGCGGCAUCCUGGACCGGCAUUGACGCUGAGGAGCGAAAGCUAGGGGAGCAAACGGG
rnacentral:rRNA from 1 species